rnacentral:rRNA from 1 species
AUGGCGGAGGGGAAGGCGAGUCUUCUCGCCGGUGAGGCGGAGAUGGUGCGCGGCCAGUCCCCGCAUGGAGAGCUCGUAGGCACGAGGCGUGCUUCACAGGGAUGGCUCCAGGUCGGAGAGAUGUGGGCAUUAAGAGGAGCUCAACGGAGCUGCCCCGUCGUGCUCGCCACCAGCAAACUCCAGUCGGUUGGGGCAGUAGUAGUCGCCGGCGCCGAUGAGGCGCAAGGUGUAUUUAUUCGUCCCCCUGCAGUCCCCGCUCUGUCCAAUUUUUUGUUCUAUGUGUCUGCCCUCCUUCGUGCUUGA